UACGUAGGGACCAAGCGUUGUCCGGAAUCAUUGGGCGUAAAGAGCGUGUAGGCGGCUUGUUAAGUCUUGCGUGAAAUCUCGGGGCUCAACCCCGAGCGGUCGUGAGAAACUGGCAGGCUAGAGUGCGGGAGAGGAGAGUGGAAUUCCUGGUGUAGCGGUGAAAUGCGCAGAUAUCAGGAAGAACACCCGUGGCGAAGGCGGCUCUCUGGUACGUGACUGACGCUGAGACGCGAAAACGUGGGGAGCGAACAGG
rnacentral:rRNA from 1 species